UACAGAGGGGGCAAGCGUUAUUCGGAAUUAUUGGGCGUAAAGGGCGCGUAGGCGGCUUUUCAAGUGACGGGUGAAAUCCCUCGGCUUAACCGAGGAACUGCCUGUCAGACUGGAAGGCUUGAGACCGGGAGAGGUGAGUGGAAUUCCCAGUGUAGCGGUGAAAUGCGUAGAUAUUGGGAGGAACACCAGUGGCGAAGGCGGCUCACUGGACCGGAACUGACGCUGAGGCACGAAAGCGUGGGUAGCAAACAGG
rnacentral:rRNA from 1 species